rnacentral:tRNA from 1 species
GGAACUGUGCCUGAAACAAAGGACCACUUUGAUGAGGUGAAUCUAGAGGGUUAAAUUCCCUCCAGCUCCU